GACGAACGCUGGCGGCGUGCUUAACACAUGCAAGUCGAACGGAAAGGCCCUGCUUUUGUGGGGUGCUCGAGUGGCGAACGGGUGAGUAACACGUGAGUAACCUGCCCUUGACUUUGGGAUAACUUCAGGAAACUGGGGCUAAUACCGGAUAGGAGCUCCUGCUGCAUGGUGGGGGUUGGAAAGUUUCGGCGGUUGGGGAUGGACUCGCGGCUUAUCAGCUUGUUGGUGGGGUAGUGGCUUACCAAGGCUUUGACGGGUAGCCGGCCUGAGAGGGUGACCGGCCACAUUGGGCCUGAGAGAGGGCCCAGACUCCUACGGGAGGCAGCAGUGGGGAAUAUUGCACAAUGGGCGGGAGCCUGAUGCAGCAACGCCGCGUGCGGGAUGACGGCCUUCGGGUUGUAAACCGCUUUCGCCUGUGACGAAGCGUGCGUGACGGUAAUGGGUAAAGAAGCACCGGCUAACUACGUG
rnacentral:rRNA from 1 species